AUUGAACGCUGGCGGCAGGCUUAACACAUGCAAGUCGAGCGAGCGGCGGACGGGUGAGUAAUGUAUGGGCAACUGCCUGAUGGAGGGGGAUAACUACUGGAAACGGUAGCUAAUACCGCAUACCCUCAGAUGUGCCCCGAUGGGAUUAGCUAGUAGGUGGGGUAAUGGCUCACCUAGGCGCAGAUCCCUAGCUGGUCUGAGAGGAUGACCAGCCCAACUGGAACUGAGACACGGUCCAGACUCCUACGGGAGGCAGCAGUGGGGAAUAUUGCACAAUGGGCGCAAGCCUGAGGCAGCCAUGCCGCGUGUGUGAAGAAGGCCUUCGGGUUGUAAAGUACUUUCAGCGAGGAGGCGUUACUCGCAGAAGAAGCACCGGCUAACUCCGUGCCAGCCGCCGCGGUAAUUC
rnacentral:rRNA from 1 species